AUUCUGUGCACCUUAUCACAGUCAGUUUUGUGAACAAGGAACUCCUAAUAGGCUGAGAGCAUCAACUGCCUGAUACAAGCAGAAGGAGAUUAUCAGAGUUGACCAGCUCUGGAUUUAGCCCUUUAGAAGUAAACUGUUGUUUAACUUUUUAACACAGAAAGAAAAGCCGAUAUCAGGGAUCACCUGGCACAACAACUACUUAAUUCUGA